AGAGUUUGAUCCUGGCUCAGGACGAACGCUGGCGGCGUGCUUAACACAUGCAAGUCGAGCGGAAAGGCCCUUCGGGGUACUCGAGCGGCGAACGGGUGAGUAACACGUGAGCAACCUGCCCCUUGCUUUGGGAUAACCCUCGGAAACGGGGGCUAAUACCGAAUGGUCACUGCCGGGCGCAUGUUUGGUGGUGGAAAGUUUUUCGGCUAGGGAUGGGCUCGCGGCCUAUCAGCUUGUUGGUGGGGUGAUGGCCUACCAAGGCGACGACGGGUAGCCGGCCUGAGAGGGCGACCGGCCACACUGGGACUGAGACACGGCCCAGACUCCUACGGGAGGCAGCAGUGGGGAAUAUUGCACAAUGGGCGCAAGCCUGAUGCAGCGACGCCGCGUGAGGGAAGACGGCCUUCGGGUUGUAAACCUCUUUCAGCUCCGACGAAGCGAAAGUGACGGUAGGGGCAGAAGAAGCGCCGGCCAACUACGUGCCAGCAGCCGCGGUAAGACGUAGGGCGCGAGCGUUGUCCGGAUUUAUUGGGCGUAAAGAGCUCGUAGGCGGCUUGUUGCGUCGACUGUG
rnacentral:rRNA from 1 species